CCUACGGGGGGCUGCAGUGAGGAAUAUUGGUCAAUGGCCGGAAGGCUGAACCAGCCAAGCCGCGUGAAGGACGACGGUGCCAAGCAUUGUAAACUUCUUUUGUCAAGGGACAAAAUCAGGCUCGAGAGCCUGACCGAGGGUACUUGAAGAAUAAGCAUCGGCUAAUUCCGUGCCAGCAGCCGCGGUAAUACGGAGGAUGCGAGCGUUAUCCGGAUUUAUUGGGUUUAAAGGGGGCGUAGGCGGCCGGUUAAGUCAGCGGUAAAAGCCCGGGGCUCAACCCCGGCGAGCCGUUGCAACUGGCUGUCUUGAGAUGUCGGGAGGUAUGCGGAAGGCGUGGUGUAGCGGUGAAAUGCUUAGAUAUUGCGAAGAACUCCGAUUGCGAAGGCAGCAUACCGGCGGCGAUCUGACGCUGAGGCACGAAAGCGUGGGUAUCGAACAGGAUUAGAUACCCCGGUAGUC
rnacentral:rRNA from 1 species